GACGAACGCUGGCGGCGUGCUUAACACAUGCAAGUCGAACGGAAAGGCCCUGCUUUUGUGGGGUGCUCGAGUGGCGAACGGGUGAGUAACACGUGAGUAACCUGCCCUUGACUUUGGGAUAACUUCAGGAAACUGGGGCUAAUACCGGAUAGGAGCUCCUGCUGCAUGGUGGGGGUUGGAAAGUUUCGGCGGUUGGGGAUGGACUCGCGGCUUAUCAGCUUGUUGGUGGGGUAGUGGCUUACCAAGGCUUUGGCGGGUAGCCGGCCUGAGAGGGUGACCGGCCACAUUGGGACUGAGAUACGGCCCAGACUCCUACGGAAGGCAGCAGUGGGGAAUAUUGCACAAUGGGCGGAAGCCUGAUGCAGCAACGCCGCGUGCGGGAUGACGGCCUUCGGGUUGUAAACCGCUUUCGCCUGUGACGAAGCGUGAGUGACGGUAAUGGGUAAAGAAGCACCGGCUAACUACGUG
rnacentral:rRNA from 1 species